rnacentral:sRNA from 1 species
GCCGGGCAUGGUGGCGCACACCUGUAGUCCCAGUGACUCGGAGGCUGAGGCAGGAGGAUUACAAGUUCAAGGCCAGCCUCAG